GACGAACGCUGGCGGCGUGCUUAACACAUGCAAGUCGAACGGAAAGGCCUGCUUUCCCUUGUGGUUUGCGGGUACUCGAGUGGCGAACGGGUGAGUAACACGUGAGUUAUCUGCCCCCAACUUGUGUAUAAGCCUGGGAAACUGGGUCUAAUUCCCGAUCGGACUGCAGGGUGGUGCCGGUGGUGGAAAACGAUUUUCUAGUGGUUGGGGAUGAGCUCGCGGCCUAUGAGCUUGUUGGUGGGGUAAUGGCCGACCAAGGCGGCGACGGGUAGCCGGCCUGAGAGGGUGGACGGUGACAUUGGGACUGGGACACGGCCCAGACGGGUACGGGAGGCAGCAGUGGGGAGUAUAGGACAAUGAGCGGAAGCCUGAUGCAGCGACGCGGCGUGGGGGAUGACGGCCUUCGGGUUGUAAACUCCUUUCGAACGCGAGGAAGCGACCUGGUUGGAAGGGUGGUGACGGUAGUGGUAGAAGAAGCACCGGCUAACUACGUG
rnacentral:rRNA from 1 species